GUAGUCGUGGCCGAGUGGUUAAGGCGAUGGAAACUUCCCGCGCAGGUUCGAAUCCUGCCGACUACG
rnacentral:tRNA from 1 species